CAGAGAGGGAAAUGACUGACAUUCACCGAUAUAAUUUUAAAAAUGGAAAGCAGCAGAAGAAAGGUGCACUUGUAUGGAUAUAUGUUCUUUCAAGUUUUUAGGACAUUUGAUUUCCCUAUGGCUGUUCGUUAGCCAUUGUUUGCAGAGCUUGCACAAAGGAAAAUGCUUGUGGACUGUGCAUUGUAAGAUAUUCUUUUUGAUCAGUCAGUAGCUCCGGCUUCAGGUCUCUUGCUGUUUACUCUGGAAAGCAUUGAACACUAUUUGUAGUCUAACUUGGGUGACUUGUACCUUUCCUUGCUUUUUAUACCAGAGGGUACGUAUAUUAAAUAAUUCUCGUUGAUGGCUCACUCUUGAUAUUCAGAACAUCAAAACUUUCUUGCUGAUAGAAAAUUGAUAUUUUUAGCAGUGUUCCUAAAUGAAAUCUAAUAGUUUCAUCCAGUUUGGCCUCAAACAUCUGGUUUAAUGGAAAUGGACUAUAUUCAAAUGCUAGUGUGGUGUGCCUGUUGAGCAACUUAUCUCAGGCUUUCAUCUCCUUUUGAUGAUAUUGGUGCUUGGAAACAAGGAUUUGGAAUGCGAGGAUGCGGAAGGACUGCUUUUGCUGUUGUAGAGACAGGUUCGAGGACUUGAAGAUCCCAUGGCAUGAAUUAUAUUUGGGAAAAAAAAAAUGGAAAUUCUGUAAUUUUCCAUUAAAUUGGGUAAAUUGCCAGAAAACCAGUUGUUGGACUUUGAUGGUUCUCAAAAUAAAUCUGACUGUUGCAUAAUUAUGUAGUUUCCAUUAUAUUGUAUAAUUUUCCAUUUUAAUGUGUAAGUUAUCAUUAGAUUGUAUAUUGGAGACAGAUACAAAU
rnacentral:misc_RNA from 1 species